rnacentral:rRNA from 1 species
UGUAAACCUCUUUUCUCAAGGAAUAAGAACGGGAAGGACCUUGAGGAUAACCUUCGGUUACCUCCGGGCCACCACCCGCGGAAUUACGGAGGAUGCAAGCGUUAUCCGAAAGGAUGGGGCGAAAAGGGCCCGCAGGGGGCCCUGAAAGUCUGCUGUUAAAAAGCCUACUUCACCUAAAUAAAAGCAGGGGAAACUACAAAGUUAAAGUGCGUUCGGGGAACCAGGAAUUCCUGGGGAACCGGGGAAAGGCGAAAAAACCAGGAAAAACCCCGGGGGCAAAAGCGGGCUACUAGGCCGAACCUGACCCUGAGGAACAAAAGCUAGGGAACCGAAGGGAAUUAAAUACCCAGUAUCAAAAGG